rnacentral:rRNA from 1 species
UUGUACGGCCGUACCACCCUGAACGUGCCCGAUCUCAGAAGCUAAGCAGGUGUGGGCCUGGUUAGCGUAUGGA